UCUCUCAACUCUCGGCUCUCUCUAUCUCUCAGUUUUUUUUUCCUUUUUUUUUUUGGUUCAAGAGGCCAAGACACAACCUAACAACUCUAACGACACAAAAAAAACUUCCCCUCGACUCUCUCAAUUGGUUCUCUCAACUCUCAAGACACCAUUACAAACACUCCCACUCAAAACUCUCCUGCACUCUCUCGGCUCUAUCCCUCUCUUUUCUCUCAAUUCACACAACACACCCACACACAAAUCAAACACAAUAAAGCAAGCAACAAAGGGUUGAAACCUGGGAAUUCCUUCAAAAAAUUUGACCGAGAAACUCUUGCUCACAUUGAGCCAAGAACGGAUUCUAUGCAAAAAAUCGAAUUGAGGAUGUAUUUUGGUGAAUUUUCUGCAAAUUGGAGAGGUCGCCGGUGAUCGGCGACCGACGGUGGUCCAAUGACGACCCCAUCGCCGGCAUCAGCUAUGAUCAUUGGAUGAAGCUUCUGUCUUCUCGGAAAAGAAGAAGAAGAGAGAAAGGAAGAAGAAGAAGAAAAAGAAAGAAAAAGGAAAAGAAAUAAAGAAAGAAAAAUGUUGGGUUUUUUGUUUUUUAUUUCUGGUAGGCUGCUAGUUUAUUUUUGUUGGGUUUGUGGUUGGAUUGUUGGAGCUAAACCCAACGUUUUAUUAUCUGUAAUUUUGUCCAAAUUUUCUUUGGGCUUAUUUGUAUUUUUUUUUUAUAGAUUAGCCUGAGUUUUCUUUUGGGCUACAGAGUAGUCCGGCCCAACAUAUUAAAAAAA